CAAAGAUGGAAUGAAAGCUAAAGGGCUGUGUGCUUUUCAAGGAGAAAGAGUAAAUUCCACAACGGAACAUUUGUGUGACAUAGAAUCCUCAUUUGAUCAGGCUGUCUGCUUUUAAUCAGAUCUCUGUGAUUUCUGUUCACUCUGGCACAGUGGUAGUAAAGAGGGGAAUGUGAUGAGGAGGACCUGCUAUGGUCCUCAGAGAUCUCUUAACUGGACCAUGAUCAUAAUAAAGCAUACAGCAUUUACAGUUACAUUUUGGUAAGCAACUACAUUAAUUUUUGGAAUAAGUCCAUAUAUCCC
rnacentral:lncRNA from 1 species